rnacentral:rRNA from 1 species
UACGUAGGGUGCAAGCGUUGUCCGGAAUUAUUGGGCGUAAAGAGCUCGUAGGCGGUUUGUCGCGUCUGCUGUGAAAACUCGGAGCUUAACUCCGGGCCUGCAGUGGGUACGGGCAGACUAGAGUGCGGUAGGGGAGACUGGAAUUCCUGGUGUAGCGGUGAAAUGCGCAGAUAUCAGGAGGAACACCGGUGGCGAAGGCGGGUCUCUGGGCCGUAACUGACGCUGAGGAGCGAAAGCGUGGGGAGCGAACAGG